AGACCAAACUAGAUUUACACAAAGGAGAAAUGGAUCUAAGUACUCUUAAAAAUAGGGAUAUUAAAAUGGAAGGUAUUUCAGACAUUGUUGAAUCAGAAUGCGUGCCCAGAGAAGAUAGAGACAGGAGAGCCCAGAGGACAGAGCAGGGUGACUUUCCUCACAAAGAAGGCAUUAGGCUCCAGGAAGGCAUUGAGGAGGACACUGUAAAUGGGCUGACAGUCUUUCAUGAGCUCAUCUGGGGGCCCUUCCCGUGAAGACUGCAACAUCUAUUCAAAGUGGUUAUAUAAAAUAUGAACAGAUUUAAGAAUCGAAAUCUGGGAAGAUCAGGAUAUUUGGCAAGGGAAAUAGGUCCACUGUACUGGGUUCAUUGCUUAACCGCUGGAAACAAGAGCUAGACUACCUGCUCGUGAUCCCAGGAGGCUAAUGGAACAGUGAUGUAUCGCGGUUCCUGCCUCGUGAAUUUGGAAGCAGGAUUCUGCUCCUAGGAAAAGAUGAGAAUAGAGCUCCAGUCUAUUCUUGCUGCAGUAA
ensembl:lncRNA novel transcript